rnacentral:rRNA from 1 species
CCUACGGGAGGCAGCAGUGGGGAAUAUUGGUCAAUGGGCGCAAGCCUGACCCAGCCACGCCGCGUGAAGGAAGAAGGCUUUCGGGUUGUAAACUUCUUUUGUCAGGGACGAAACAAGUGACAGUACCUGCCGAAUGAGCCACGGCUAACUACGUGCCAGCAGCCGCGCUAAUACGUAGGUGGCAAGCAUUAUCAGGAUUUAUUGGUUUUACAGGGCGGGUAGGCGGGAAUGCAAGUCAGGUGUGAAAACUAUGGGCUCAACCCAUAGCCUGCAUUUGAAACUGUAUUUCUUGAGUGCUGGAGAGGCAAUCGGAAUUCCGUGUGUAGCGGUGAAAUGCGUAGAUAUACGGAGGAACACCAGUGGCGAAGGCGGAUUGCUGGACAGUAACUGACGCUGAGGCGCGAAAGCGUGGGGAGCAAACAGGAUUAGAUACCCGAGUAGUC